rnacentral:rRNA from 1 species
CCUCCAGACUCCUACGGGAGGCAGCAGUGGGGGAUAUUGCACAAUGGGGGGAACCCUGAUGCAGCGACGCCGCGUGGGCGAGGGAGCGCCUCGGCGCGUAAAGCCCUUUCGGCGGGGGAGAACGAUGACGGUACCCGACGAAGAAGCAUCGGCUAACUCCGUGCCAGCAGCCGCGGUAAUACGGAGGAUGCGAGCGUUAUCCGGAUUUAUUGGGUUUAAAGGGUGCGUAGGCGGUUUUUUAAGUUAGUGGUUAAACGUCGGGGCUUCACCUUGAUUUGCCAUUAAUACUGUAAGACUCGAGUUCAGACGAGGUAGGCGGAAUAAGUUAAGUAGCGGUGAAAUGCUUAGAUAUAACUUAGAACUCCGAUAGCGAAGGCAGCUUACCAGACUGCGACUGACGCUGAAGCACGAGAGCGUGGGUAGCGAACAGGAUUAGAUACCCGUGUAG